rnacentral:rRNA from 1 species
CGAAAGCCUGACGGAGCAAUACCGCGUGAGGGAUGAAUGCCUAUGGGUUGUAAACCUCUUUUUUCAGGGAGGAAUAAAUGACGUGUACCUGAAGAAUAAGCAUCGGCUAACUCCGUGCCAGCAGCCGCGGUAAGACGGAGGAUGCAAGUGUUAUCCGGAAUCACUGGGCGUAAAGCGUCUGUAGGUGGUUUAAUAAGUCAACUGUUAAAUCUUGAGGCUUAACCUCAAAAUCGCAGUCGAAACUAUUAGACUAGAGUAUAGUAGGGGUAAAGGGAAUUUCCAGUGGAGCGGUGAAAUGCGUAGAUAUUGGAAAGAACACCGAUGGCGAAGGCACUUUACUGGGCUAUUACUGACACUCAGAGACGAAAGCUAGGGUAGCAAAUG